CCACAAGGAAACUAACCAUCUUAGGUACACUCAGUUUACAGAAUUUUGCAUCUUAAGUUACCUCAAUAACUCGCUUCUACUUCCUGCAGAAAAAAAAUUGCUUCACUAGCUCCAAAUAAAAUAUAGCUUGCUUCAUAUCACUCAAAAAUUACAUCACCUAAAAGUUCUCACAUUCAAAUAUUCGCCAAAAUAUGCACACUAAAAUAUUUCAUGGAAAAUGUCAGCUGUUCUAUAUACUGUAAAUCUAUAUUUAUAUGUUGCUUUAUUAUUUUUUGUAGAUCAUCUUGUUGAUUGUGUUUUGUGCAGAUUGUUUGUCCAUAUUUUUCCAUCUGUCAUUACAAAUAUAUUGUUUUGCUCAGAUGACAUUUAACUAAUGAAAUGUGUGUAUUUAUUAUUUCAUUAUUUCAAAAGUAAAGGGUAUGUACCUCGAAUUAAUACAAUCUUCGAUAUUUUUUGCCUGUCUCCCUUCAAUUAUCGAACAUGUUUAAAUUUCGUCUCUUCACCCUCUAAAUGUAUUUUUUGAAGUUUAUUGCAUUCAUCUGAGUUGACAUUUGUUUUGUUACAUGCAUUGGUUACAUUNNNNN
rnacentral:lncRNA from 1 species